rnacentral:rRNA from 1 species
UACGGGGGGUGCAAGCGUUAAUCGGAAUCACUGGGCGUAAAGGGUGCGUAGGCGGUACGUUAGGUCUGUCGUGAAAUCCCCGGGCUCAACCUGGGAAUGGCGGUAGAAACCGGCGCACUAGAGUAUGGGAGAGGGUGGUGGAAUUCCAGGUGUAGCGGUGAAAUGCGUAGAGAUCUGGAGGAACAUCAGUGGCGAAGGCGGCCACCUGGCCCAAUACUGACGCUGAGGCACGAAAGCGUGGGGAGCAAGCAGGAUUAGAUACCCUGGUAGUCCACGCCCUAAACGAUGAAUACUAGAUGUUUGGUACCUAGCGUACUGAGUGUCGUAGCUAACGCGAUAAGUAUUCCGCCUGGGAAGUACGGCCGCAAGGUUAAAACUCAAAGGAAUUGACGGGGGCCCGCACAAGCGGUGGAGCAUGUGGUUUAAUUCGAUGCAACGCGAAGAACCUUACCUGGGCUUGACAUGUCCGGAAUUCUGCAGAGAUGCGGGAGUGCCCUUCGGGGAAUCGGAACACAGGUGCUGCAUGGCUGUCGUCAGCUCGUGUCGUGAGAUGUUGGGUUAAGUCCCGCAACGAGCGCAACCCUUGUCCUUAGUUGCCAGCGGUUCGGCCGGGCACUCUAGGGAGACUGCCGGUGACAAACCGGAGGAAGGUGGGGAUGACGUCAAGUCCUCAUGGCCUUUAUGUCCAGGGCUACACACGUGCUACAAUGGCGCGUACAGAGGGAAGCCAAGCCGCGAGGUGGAGCAGACCCCAGAAAGCGCGUCGUAGUUCGGAUUGCAGUCUGCAACUCGACUGCAUGAAGUCGGAAUCGCUAGUAAUCGCGGAUCAGCAUGCCGCGGUGAAUACGUUCAACGGGCCU